AUAUAUAUGUAUAUAUAUAUAUAUAUAUAUAUACACACAAAUGUUCUCCUUUUUUUUAAGCUUUUUUACCCCAACAAAUACCAAAAACAAGACCAAGACCAACUCCCACCAUUCGGACGGCCCACCAGACUGACAGCAGUGGAGAGGUGAAGGGUCGCCUGACUCUGACCCCAAACGACAAAGCCUGAGUGUGACAGCCAUCGCAGAAACGUCCUGGAUGACAUCACGGUGCCCCCGCCUUCCUCCGCUCGCCUAGGGCUGCACCAUAUAUUAUAUAUACACUGUUCUAUUGUUUCAGAGCAGCAGUGCCUUUAGUACAGUGCAUAAGCACAGUAUAAGAUAUAUACAGUGUGUACAUGUAUAUAUAUUAUAUACAGCCCUGGAAAAAAUUGAGACCACUUCAGUUUCUAAAUCAGUUUCUCCAAUUUUGCUUUUUAUAGGUACAUGUCUGAGUAAAAUUAACAUUUAUUCUAUAAACUAUGGACAACAUUUCUCCCAAAUUCCAAAUAGAAAUAUUGUCAUUUAGAGCAUUUUUUGCAUAUAAUGAGAAAUGGCUGAAAUACCAAAAAAAGAUGCAGAGCUUUCAGACCUUAAAUAAUGCAAAGAAAACUAAUUCAUAUUCAUAAAUUUAAUCAGAAAUCAAAAUUUGGUGGAAUAUCCCUGGUUUUUAAUCACAGUUUUCAUGCAUCUUGGCAUGUUCUCCUCCACCAGUCUUACACACUGCUUUUGGAUAACUUUAUGCCACUCCUGGUGCAAAAAUUCAAGCAGCUCAGUUUGAUUUGAUGGCUUGUGAUCUUCCUCUAGAUUAUAAUCGAGAGGUUUUAAACUUGGUAAAAUCAAAGAGACUCAUACUUUUUAAGCGGUCACUUAUUUUUUUAUCCAGAGCUGUAUAUAUGUAAAUAUACACACCCUGUAUUUACAGUAUAAUGAAGAGUGCUUAUGUAUUGCAGUAUCACACCCACACUUCUCUUUUUUUUUUUUUUUUUUUUUGCUCCUAAUCCACAGCCCCGCCCUUCAUCUUCUCCACUCCAUCCAUAUUCAUCAUUUUAAGCCCCUCGACCAGCUAAUGAAGCCUGGAGCAGUAGGCUUCAGGCACGACACAGAGGAGGGGACGCCUGGGCCAGAAUGUGGCUUUGAACUUUACAGAGAGGGAAAAAGAGAAAGAGAGAGAGAGAAAAAAAAAGAAAAACAGACUAAAAAUUUAAUUUAUCCAAUUUCCCUUUUACCCCAAAUGAACUUGAUCAGCCAGGACAUAUUUAAUGCCUGAACAAAGUUUGCUUCUUUAUUUUUCCUCUGGAGUUACGAGGCUAAUACAGCGAAGAGGUUAAAGCUAACAUGUACUGGAAGCUAACAGACAAUCAGUAAUUUUUUUAACUACACUGUUUGGAGCCUGUUGGUUUCAAAUGUAAGUUUAGAGCUAAAUAUCUCUCUAAAAUGCACAGAUGACAUCACAAUUCGGUCUGGGUUUUGGAAAUACAACGUCAUGUGUGUACCAGAAAUAUAUGUCAUAGACCUAGACCUAGGCCACCUAGACCUAGCAUUACCACCUAGGUGGGCAUCACAGUGGGAGUGGUAAAUGAUAGUGACUAGCAGCGUCUGGCUUGUACUGUCCGUAUGUGUGUGUGUGUGUGUGUGUGUGUAUAUCUACACCCUUCUAAAUUCAAUGCAAGAAACCCAACACAUAUCUCAGAGGUCAGUGCAGCAAAAGUCAUAAGGCAUGCUGCGAGUUCCUGUCCCAUGACUUUUGACAUUUUUGUCAUUGUAACAAUAGGUAAUAACAACAGACUAAAGCACUCUACUCCAUGUUUUGGAACCAACAGGACAAUUAAAGAGAUAAAAGAAUGAAUGAGGCUAAAGGUGAACAAGAAAUCUGAAAUUCAAGCUGAAUAUCAUUGUAGAAAACUAUGUAUGAACCCAUAAAAUGGACCACCGGCCCUCAUCUCUGAAUGAACUGCAGAGCGUCACAGAGCUGAAGCUUCUCUAUAUUCUAUUGUCAGAGUGUGAACUGCACGAAAAAAAGGAGAGAAGUUUUAGCUCUGUGCUGCAUCGGCCCAAAAUGAAUCCUGCAGCGGUGUGAAAUUGGUCAUUUCAGCAUUCUCCCUCUCUCCCUCUGUUUCCCUGGUCUGAGAGUGGAGGACGCCUCAGGCUCAAUCUCCCUCUCUCUCGCACGUUCUUUCACCCGCUCAAACUUCGUACUUCUGCGCUGAAGAAAUAUGACAUCUAUUCAAUAAAAAGCAUUUUAAAUGCAGGAAAUAUAGACAGUAUUUCUAUACUCUUAAAACAGAAAGGCUCUACAGAUGGUUCUUUGGAAGAUGCCUUAUAUGAAACACUUAUGUUUGCACUAAGAACCAUGCUUAAAAUGAAGAUGUUUUAGUGUAAUGAAGCUUUACAACUAUUCAAGUGUUUUACACACUCACAUCUAAUACCUAUUUUACAAGCAAGGUUCAUUAUAAAACCAAAAAUGGUUCAUCUAUGGCAUCACUUAUGAACCUUUGAAGUUUUGUAGCACCUUUAUUCUGUUUACUGAAUUUAUACUAUAGAUAUAUCUGUAGUUUCGCUAGAUGUAUCUACACCUAUUACAUCCUUUAAAAGAGCAAAGAACUUCUAACUCUUAAGCAUAUUCAAACUGUACAUUUUUUUUAUUAUAUAUUAGAAAAACAUAAUGAGUGGUAUCAGGUUCAGAAAAAAAUAAUUAAGGUCAUGUCCAUAUAUUAUUUGAUAGGUUGAUAAUCUAGGUACUGUGACAGGGUUAGCAGUAUUCGCAGUUUAGUGGAACCAAAGCAUCUGUUCAUUUCUUUUCUUUCUAAAAAGACAACCAGCUAGAUUGACAGCAAGGCCUGUCCUGACUAGAACUGUUAGAGUGAACAGAAAUCACAUCUACUUUAAAUGCAGGAGACCCUACACACCUAACCUACAAGUGCAGGGUUCUUUAGAGUCUAUUGGACAGGACAGGAUAUUAGUUCUGACCAUUACAUACAGCAUGUCAGUAUAUUAUCACUAUAUUGGUGGCAUAAAAUAGUCUUAGGGUGACAGUAAUACUUUUAAACAAUCAAAUUAAACCAAAUAAAUAUUUCUGUCCAAAAAACAAAACCAAACAAAAUGAUUUAAGAAUUGUGAACUCAUCUUUACUUUUUUUUUAAAUUACAAAUUAAACUGUCUAACUGAAAAAACUACAAAACUACAAUUUAAAAAUGUUUAUUAAACACUGAACAUUUUUUAAUAUCCUAGCAGACAUACAGCUCUGGAAAAAAAUAAGAGACCACAUAAGAAAGAUGAGCUUCUUUGAUUUUUGCACCAGGAGUGGCAUAAAGUUUUCCAAAAGCAGUGUGUAAAACUGGUGGAGGAGAACAUGCCAAUAUGCAUGAAAACUAACUGUGAUUAAAAACCAGGGUUUUUCCACCAAAUAUUGAUUUAUGAACUCUUAAAACUUUAUAAAUAUUAACUUGUUUUCUUUGAAAGCUCUGCAUCUUUUUUGUUAUUUCAGCCAUUUCUCAUUUUCUGCAAAUAAAUGCUCUAAAUGACAAUAAGAACGUUGUCCAUAGUUUUAUAGAAUAAAACAAUGUUCAGUUUACUCAAACAUAUACCUAUAAAUAGCAAAAUCAGGUCUUAUUUUUUCAGAGCUGUAUAUCCCAACAUAAAAUGAAUUAAUUGGUAUAAAUUAUUUUUUUUUUCCAACUUACAACACCAAAUAUGCUUUUUUUGCCUAAUAUUUGAUUCAUCCAUACCUGAAAGUUUGUAUCUUCACUGGCUUUGAGAAAUAAUUCUGACUUAAAACUGCCAACAGAGCAUAAACACUGAAUAGUGAUAUAAUUCUGUUGGAAAAUAUGAGAAAUAUGAUAUAUGGAGAUUCAAGCCUCCAUUCAAGCCGCUUCUCCUUGCCAACUGCUAAUGUUUCUCAGUCUAUCAGUGUGAGGCAGAAAGACCUGCUGGAGAAGCUCACUCUACAGUACUCCUCUCUGCUCCACACUGAAGGAGGGGGGCCUGGAAGCCUGGCUGCUGGAGAAAAACAGAUGUUUUGUGUCCUGGAUGGAGCUAUUAGAACUGAGCUAUAGCGUGGGCUGUGCGCCAAACGCACUUGGUGCACUUCAUUCUUCUCUGCUGAAUUGAGACGUGUAGUUUGAGGACAAGAGCGUCAGAAGCAUUGCACUUGUGCAUUUGCAUAUCUGAUAAGAAGUAGAGACAGAGACUGUUACAUUAACCUGCUCUUGAAGGAACCAGGAGAGGGGCAGGUCUGUGGACGUGAAGGCGCUCACAUUCCACUGUCCUCCACCUCACUGUUUGUGGGAGCAGGUGUGUGAAAGGUGAUAACAUGAGAAGGGGGGUCUGUGGUUCAGUAAGGGUGGGUGUUUUAGGGGGGUAGUGCAUUCCAUUCGAACACACACACACGUUCAUACUUUCACACACACAAGCACACAGACCACCAACCGUUAAACUGCUGGAGUCGCCUGAGGCCAGGUGUGAGAACCUGCUCCCAUUGGUUUGCAGUUUCUUGUGUAAAAAGCAGUGCAGACAGUAUGUCAUCUACGUAGCGCACCAGCUGCCUCAGCAGAUCCCUGGCAUAGUAAAACAAGAUCAGCCACAAAAUUAAAACCCUCUCACUUAAGAACAAUCUAGGCUUCAAUGUAGCCUAGACAUAGCUGGGUACACUAUUUCGUAGCCUACGCCAUAAUCUUUUACGCAAUUGCUUAGAAAUGUAUUAAUGAUUCUUUUCCCGAACUCAGGCUCAAGAAAAUAGUCUGUGGCAUGGCAGUAUGUUUUUUUUACGCUACAUAAAUCACAUUAUAGCAAAGUAACAAAUCAAAUGCGUAUCUGUUUUUAAAAAACAUUUUUCUUAAAUAAUAGGUCUAUGCUUCUUCAGUGUUACAAUGUUAAUUAACAUAAUUCUGUUUAAAUUGGGCUCAGGCUCAUAAUGACAGUUUAUGGGGCGGGUCGGGUCGGGCUUGGGCAGAAUGUGCACGGGCUUGGGCCGGGUCGGGUCAGAUUUUUUUAUGCUGAUCUAAGCUCUAACACAGACUGAAGCAGCUGUGAUUGGUCUGCUGAGCUUCGUAUUCCCACCUUUGCAGUGAACCAUAGAGUAACGCAGAUUCUCCAAAGCACAAGUAUAAACACACACAACAACAUAGAAAGCUUAUUCAGUUUAUUCAGGCCACAAACUGUGCAUUUACUCUGCGCAGAUGUAAAAAUCAGCCUUUAAGUUUUCCUUCACUUUGUCAUCCUUUGUCACACAUAAUUUCAUACCAAUUACUCAUGCUUACUAGGUUUUGAGUAUGAGAGUAUGAAGUAUAUAGUACGCAUAAAAGAGUCAAAGCUGAUUAUACCAAACAUUCACAAUACAUACCCAGAAUUGGUCAAUUUUUAAGUCUGGUCACAAUGGACUUUCUUAUCUGACAAUGCAAUGGAAAACAAAAAAGGGAGCAGCUUCUCAUGUUUGGAACAACAUUAGGAUAAAAUGUCAGAUAGCGAAGUGCAGCAGCGACAGCGUCAGGAAAACCUGGAGUGGCGUAUGUUGGCAUAGAAAUGCUUUAUCAUUUAUAUUAAGAUUAGUAUAUACUUUCUAGUAUUCUAGUAUUUUAGUAUUGCGAUGCAGCCAAAGUGUUCCGAGUUAUCUGUGUGUUUUAAAUAUAUUCAGACCCUCCAGUAAAUCUAGAUAUCACAGUUUGUAGGUUGCCAAAUUGUCCCAAAUUCUAACCCUAACCCUUGUCCAUUCUUGCAGGUUCCAGCACAUCAAGCACAUGUGUACAGAACUGACUUUUCACUUAGUGACUAAUAUAAUGCAUCGCAUCCCUUAAUUGGUUUUAAAUGUUAUGCAGUGUUAUGCAUCUUUCUUUCGUUUUACAUCUGGGGUUUUAUAUUUAAAUUUUUCUGUUUAAAUAAACCAAUCAGAGACCAAAAGUGUUCUUUCACAGACCCCGCCCAGCCGCCAUGUUGGUGACACUUCUUUUCAACCGUAAAUUCUAUGUCUACGGCUCUUCGUUUUCUCUGCAAUUACACGAUGUUGUUCCCCAAAGCCUUCAGUGAACAUUGCAGUCACAAGAGGUGCACAGAGGCCGCUGUGUGACCCACAAAAAGAAAAACAGAACUGAAGAUGGGUUUUGGGGGAAAAGAAGAAGGGAGGGAAAGAGAGCGAGAGAGAGAGACAGAGACAGAACGACACAGGAACAAAAGAAUAAGAGCAUGUCGAUGUAGUGUGUUUAGAAGUCCCCAGCGCUGGUUGCACAGUUAGGCGGAGCAGGCAAAUGGGAGUGUGCAUUAAUAAUGCAUGCCUGCCUCAAAGAGCUUUUACACAGGAAGCACAGACUGGGGUUCAGACCAGGGUAAAGAGAACAGGCGUGCGUGGGGGUGGCUCAGUAUAUGACAGCCCAGAAUAUUUUUUAAGUCUACUGGAUAUCAUUCUAUUCUUAUUCUGUUUGAACUAUCAGCUUUAAUAAGACAUGUAGACCAGUAUGGUGUGCCAGAUAUUUCCCGUUUCUGUACUCUGAAAUAUCAGAAAUUCUUUUACUUGUUACCCUAACUCUGCUUGACCAGUUAAGACACAUUUAGUAGGGGUGUAAUGGUUCAUAUGCCAGUGUGUCACGGCAACAAUGCUACAAAUGCCCUGCUUUUGUGAUUACAGUUUUACUGAGAAUACACAGUAUGUAAUAAGCUAUAGAAUUCUGUGCAGAUCUGAGUGUUUGGAUUGAAUUUGGGAACUUUAGUAUCACUAGGGUUGCAUACUAGAUUUGAACAUCUGAAUAUCAGAGACCACUUUAAAAUGAUAAGUUUCUUUGAUUUUACCAAAUUGAAAACCUUUGGAAUAUUAUCAAAAGGAAGAUGGAUAAUCACAAGCCAUCAAGCUGAACUGCUUGAAUUUUUGCACCAAGAGUGGAAUAAAGUUAUCCAAAAGCAGUGUGUAAGACUAGAGGAGGAGAACAUGCUUUGAUGCAUGAAAACUGCAAUUAAAAACCAGGGCUAUUUCACCAAAUAAUGAUUGGGUGGAAUAACCCUAAACAAGUUUCUGUUUUCUUUGUAUUAUUUGAAUUCUGAAAGCAUCUUUUCUGUUAUUUCAGUCC